UGCUGGGACGCGGAACGGACUGGGGCGGAUGCCUUGGGAAGGGAAGCGGCUAGAAAUUCUGAGGUAGGAUUGGCGGGUUGCGCUAGGUAGUUUGGCGCUCUCGGUUGAUUUUGUCUCGACGCUCUUUGAAAAUUUAGUAACUGAAGAGAUAUGUGGGCGGUUUGGUUCAUUUCGAUGGAUCAACGUCUGUAUAUCAACGCUACUAGGGUUUUGGCCCGAUGAUGUAGUGUCAGCUUCACUGUCUUGUAUGGACUUCGGUUUCUUUGGAAACUGAUGUGCAUCAGACAGAUGACUUUCAAUGCGGUCGUUUCCUUAGCCGGGUCGACCAUGCUGCUGAGUGAUUGUGUGUGGAUUUAUUCGCACUCAAGUAGCGCAGCGGUAGUGCAUUGAAGAUGUGCAGAGGUUCGAACGUCAAGGAUAAGCAGCGAUGCUUUUCAACUUGAGAGUUUGAUCCUGGCUCAGAACGAACGCUGGCGGCAGGCCUAACACAUGCAAGUCGAGCGAACCUUCGGGUUAGCGGCGGACGGGUGAGUAACGCGUGGGAACGUACCCUCUUCUGCGGGAUAGCCACUGGAAACGGUGAGUAAUACCGCAUACGCCCUUUGGGGGAAAGAUUUAUCGGAGGAGGAUCGGCCCGCGUUGGAUUAGGUAGUUGGUGGGGUAAUGGCCUACCAAGCCUACGAUCCAUAGCUGGUUUUAGAGGAUGAUCAGCCACACUGGGACUGAGACACGGCCCAGACUCCUACGGGAGGCAGCAGUGGGGAAUCUUAGACAAUGGGCGCAAGCCUGAUCUAGCCAUGCCGCGUGAGUGACGAAGGCCUUAGGGUCGUAAAGCUCUUUCGCCAGAGAUGAUAAUGACAGUAUCUGGUAAAGAAACCCCGGCUAACUCCGUGCCAGCAGCCGCGGUAAUACGGAGGGGGUUAGCGUUGUUCGGAAUUACUGGGCGUAAAGCGCACGUAGGCGGAUUGGAAAGUUGGGGGUGAAAUCCCAGGGCUCAACCCUGGAACGGCCUCCAAAACUCCCAGUCUAGAGUUCGAGAGAGGUGAGUGGAAUUCCGAGUGUAGAGGUGAAAUUCGUAGAUAUUCGGAGGAACACCAGUGGCGAAGGCGGCUCACUGGCUCGAUACUGACGCUGAGGUGCGAAAGUGUGGGGAGCAAACAGGAUUAGAUACCCUGGUAGUCCACACCGUAAACGAUGAAUGCCAGUCGUCGGCAAGCAUGCUUGUCGGUGACACACCUAACGGAUUAAGCAUUCCGCCUGGGGAGUACGGUCGCAAGAUUAAAACUCAAAGGAAUUGACGGGGGCCCGCACAAGCGGUGGAGCAUGUGGUUUAAUUCGAAGCAACGCGCAGAACCUUACCAACCCUUGACAUGGAUAUCGUAGUUACCAGAGAUGGUUUCGUCAGUUCGGCUGGAUAUCACACAGGUGCUGCAUGGCUGUCGUCAGCUCGUGUCGUGAGAUGUUCGGUUAAGUCCGGCAACGAGCGCAACCCACAUCCCUAGUUGCCAGCAGGUUAAGCUGGGCACUCUAUGGAAACUGCCCGUGAUAAGCGGGAGGAAGGUGUGGAUGACGUCAAGUCCUCAUGGCCCUUACGGGUUGGGCUACACACGUGCUACAAUGGUGGUGACAAUGGGUUAAUCCCAAAAAGCCAUCUCAGUUCGGAUUGGGGUCUGCAACUCGACCCCAUGAAGUCGGAAUCGCUAGUAAUCGCGUAACAGCAUGACGCGGUGAAUACGUUCCCGGGCCUUGUACACACCGCCCGUCACACCAUGGGAGUUGGGUCUACCCGACGACGGUGCGCUAACCUCGCAAGAGGAGGCAGCCGGCCACGGUAGGCUCAGCGACUGGGGUGAAGUCGUAACAAGGUAGCCGUAGGGGAACCUGCGGCUGGAUCACCUCCUUUCUAAGGAUGUUUCUAGUCAGAUCAGCGUGCUGAUCUCGUGAAACACUUAGCAUGAUCGGCAAACAAAGCCGGUCAACAUACGAACCGGACCGUCCUCAUAUCUCUUCAGGAACGUAAUCACAGACCUACCGGUCUGUCUUGGGUCGGUAGCUCAGGUGGUUAGAGCGCACGCCUGAUAAGCGUGAGGUCGGAGGUUCAAGUCCUCCUCGACCCACCACUCCCUUUGGUCGUGUUGGGGCUCGUCGGGAAUUUGAUUUGUGCGUCCUCGGGUCUUGCGACCCUGCGGGCGACACGGGCCUCGACCCACCAUCGCACUUGGCCUUAAAUCGCCGAAAGGCGGUAGGCCAAACAUCUGGCCUCAAGUAGCCGUAAGGCGGUAGGCCAAACAUCAUGGGGCCUUAGCUCAGCUGGGAGAGCGCCUGAUUUGCAUUCAGGAGGUCAGGAGUUCGAUCCUCCUAGGCUCCACCAUGUGCCAGCCCUUUUGAUUAGAUCGCUAAGCGCUUUCGAGCGUUUAGCCGUCCAAUCGGACGUUGCCCCCCUGCGGGGCAUGACUUGACAUCGUAUAGAGAGAUACAUAUCAACACUGUUUGGUGUUCGCGCGUAAGCGAUACACCUCAGUUUGGUGCUUGAGGCCUUCGGGCCGAGAGCGAGCAUAUGACGCGAUUGCUUCCUCGAUCGCCCCUAUGUCUGCCAGCUGAAACGAACAGAGUUGUCCAAGUCAAGUACACUAACCCGAACAACGUGGUCUGCCUCCCGCACGGAUGGCAGAUCGGUUGCGUUGUUCAUUGUCUGGUUCCAAGAACCAGGCGGGAAAAGUAUGCUUUUGAUACCGGAAUUAUGGCAACAGUUUCUUACCAGCUUCUGUUGUCGCGCAAGGCGCAAGUCUUGCUAGUUCUGGAUCAAAUCAAGCGCGAGAAGGGCGUUUGGUGGAUGCCUUGGCAGUAAGAGGCGAUGAAGGACGUGAUACUCUGCGAUAAGCCAUGAGGAGCUGAGAAUAAGCUGUGAUCCAUGGAUUUCCGAAUGGGGCAACCCACCUGACAGUUUGUUAUAAUUGCCUUUUGGCAGUUUAUAACGGGCUGAAACAGGUACUUUUUGACUGAAUACAUAGGUCUUAAAGAGCAAACCCGGAGAACUGAAACAUCUAAGUACCCGGAGGAAAGGACAGCAAUAGCGACUCCCCUAGUAGCGGCGAGCGAACGGGGACCAGCCGAGCCCAAUAAGUGACCAGAAUGCGUUGGGAAGCGCAGCCAUAGCGGGUGACAGCCCCGUAUGGGAAGCUUUGAGGGACGUAUCAAGUAGGGCGGAACACGUGAAAUUCUGUCUGAAGAUCGGAGGACCACCUUCGAAGGCUAAGUACUCCUUACUGACCGAUAGCGAACCAGUACCGUGAGGGAAAGGUGAAAAGCACCCCGACGAGGGGAGUGAAACAGUACCUGAAACCGAACGCCUACAAUCAGUCGGAGGGGCAUAAGCCCUGACGGCGUACCUUUUGUAUAAUGGGUCAUCGACUUGGUCUAUCUAGCAAGCUUAAGCCGUUAGGUGUAGGCGCAGCGAAAGCGAGUCUUAAUAGGGCGUUGAGUUAGAUGGAUCAGACCCGAAACCGAGUGAUCUAGGCAUGACCAGGAUGAAGGUUGGGUAACACCAACUGGAGGUCCGAACCCACACCUGUUGAAAAAGGUCGGGAUGAGUUGUGCCUAGGGGUGAAAGGCCAAUCAAACUCGGAGAUAGCUGGUUCUCUGCGAAAUCUAUUUAGGUAGAGCGUCAUCCGAAUACCCUCGGGGGUAGAGCACUGGAUGGGUAAUGGGGCCCCACAGGCUUACUGAUCCUAACCAAACUCCGAAUACCGAGGAGUACUAGAUGGCAGACAGACGGCGGAUGCUAACGUCCGUCGUCGAGAGGGAAACAACCCUGACCUCCGGCUAAGGCCCCCAAUUCAUGGCUAAGUGGGAAAGCAGGUGGGACGACCAAAACAACCAGGAGGUUGGCUUAGAAGCAGCCAUCCUUUAAAGAUAGCGUAACAGCUCACUGGUCUAAAUAAGUUGUCCUGCGGCGAAGAUGUAACGGGGCUCAAGCCAUGAGCCGAAGCCGAGGAUGCCGUAAGGCAUGGUAGCAGAGCGUAGUGUGACAUGGUUUCUAUCCUCUUUAGUGUCCUUCGGGACACCAUGGAGGAGAAGAAAUCUUCGAUGAAGCGGGCCUGUGAGGGAUCCCGUGGAGAGAUCACUAGUGAGAAUGAUGACAUGAGUAGCGAUAAAGGGUGUGAGAGACACCCUCGCCGAAAGUCCAAGGGUUCCUGCUUAAAGCUAAUCUGAGCAGGGUAAGCCGACCCCUAAGGCGAGGCCGAAAGGCGUAGUCGAUGGGAACCAGGUUAAUAUUCCUGGGCCAGAUGGAAGUGACGGAUCUCAAAGGUUGUUCGUUCUUAUCGGAUUGAACGGGCCGCUCAGAGGUUCCUGGAAAUAGCUCCAUCGCUAGAUCGUACCCGAAACCGACACAGGUGGACUGGUAGAGAAUACCAAGGCGCUUGAGAGAACUAUGUUGAAGGAACUCGGCAAAAUACCUCCGUAAGUUCGCGAGAAGGAGGCCCGGUUUCUAGGCAACUAGAGGCUGGGGGCACAAACCAGGGGGUGGCGACUGUUUACUAAAAACACAGGGCUCUGCGAAGUCGCAAGACGACGUAUAGGGUCUGACGCCUGCCCGGUGCCUGAAGGUUAAAAGGAGGGGUGAGAGCUCUGAAUUGAAGCCCAGGUAAACGGCGGCCGUAACUAUAACGGUCCUAAGGUAGCGAAAUUCCUUGUCGGGUAAGUUCCGACCUGCACGAAUGGCGUAACGACUUCCCCGCUGUCUCCAACAUAGACUCAGCGAAAUUGAAUUGCCUGUCAAGAUGCAGGCUUCCCGCGGUUAGACGGAAAGACCCCGUGCACCUUUACUAUAGCUUCGCACUGGCAUCAGGAUUGUGAUGUGCAGGAUAGGUGGUAGGCUUUGAAGCAGGGACGCUAGUCCCUGUGGAGCCUCCCUUGAGAUACCACCCUUCGCACUCUUGAUGUCUAACCGCGGCCCGUUAUCCGGGUCCGGGACCCUGCGUGGUGGGUAGUUUGACUGGGGCGGUCGCCUCCUAAAGCGUAACGGAGGCGCGCGAAGGUUGGCUCAGAGCGGUCGGAAAUCGCUCGUUGAGUGCAAUGGCAGAAGCCAGCCUGACUGCGAGACUGACAAGUCGAGCAGAGUCGAAAGACGGCCAUAGUGAUCCGGUGGUCCCAAGUGGGAGGGCCAUCGCUCAACGGAUAAAAGGUACGCCGGGGAUAACAGGCUGAUACUGCCCAAGAGUCCAUAUCGACGGCAGUGUUUGGCACCUCGAUGUCGGCUCAUCUCAUCCUGGGGCUGGAGCAGGUCCCAAGGGUACGGCUGUUCGCCGUUUAAAGAGGUACGUGAGCUGGGUUUAGAACGUCGUGAGACAGUUCGGUCCCUAUCUGCCGUGGGUGUAGGAUACUUGAGAGGAGUUGCCCCUAGUACGAGAGGACCGGGGUGAACGAACCACUGGUGGACCUGUUGUGGCGCCAGCCGCAGUGCAGGGUAGCUAUGUUCGGACAGGAUAACCGCUGAAGGCAUCUAAGCGGGAAGCCCCCCUCAAAACAAGGUAUCCCUGAGGGCCGUGGUAGACCACCACGUCGAUAGGCCGGAGAUGUAAGCGCAGCAAUGCGUUCAGUUGACCGGUACUAAUGGCCCGAUAGGCUUGAUU
rnacentral:rRNA from 1 species